rnacentral:rRNA from 1 species
UACGUAGGGACCAAGCGUUGUUCGGAUUUACUGGGCGUAAAGGGCGCGUAGGCGGCGUGACAAGUCACUUGUGAAAUCUCUGAGCUUAACCCAGAACGGCCAAGUGAAACUGUCGUGCUAGAGUGCAGAAGGGGCAAUCGGAAUUCUUGGUGUAGCGGUGAAAUGCGUAGAUAUCAAGAGGAACACCUGAGGUGAAGACGGGUUGCUGGGCUGACACUGACGCUGAUGCGCGAAAGCCAGGGGAGCAAACGGG